UUUUAUAUUAGGUUUAUUUUUACAUAUAAAUUUUAGUAUGAAAUUUUAAUUAUUUUAAAAAUAAUUAAUUAAAAAUUAUAGUAAGUAAAAUUAAAAAUUUAAGAAAUUAAGAUUUAGUAAUAUAAAAAUUAAUAACUAAUUUUGUGCCAGCAGUUGCGGUUACACAAAAAUUAAAUUAAAUUAUUUCAGUAUUUAAUAAAUAAAUAUAAUAUUAAAAUAAAUAUUAAAUUAUUAGGUGAAAUUUUAAUUUAAUUAAAUUUUAAAUUUAAUUUAUGAUUUAGUAAAUUUAAUAAUAAACUAGGAUUAGAUACCCUAUUAUUAUAAAUUUAAUUAAUAAUACUAAAAUAGUAGAUAAUAAAUAUUGAAACUUAAAUAAUAUGGCGGUAUUUUAGUUCAUUUAGAGGAAUCUGUUUAAUAAUUGAUAAUCCACGAAUAAAUUUACUUAAUUUAGUAUUUUAUAUAUCGUUGUUAAAAAAAUAUUUUAUAAUAAAAAUAAUAUUUUAAAAUUUAUAUAAUAAAUUAGUUCAAAUCAAGAUGUAGAUUAUAAUUAAGAAUAUAAUGGAUUACAAUAAAAUAAUUUAAAAUGAAUAAUUAAUUUUAAAAUUAAUUUAAAGGUGGAUUUAAAUGUAAUUUUAAUUAAUUUAUUAAAAUGAUUAAAAAUUGAAAUAUGUACAUAUUGCCCGUCACUUUCAUUUAAAAAUUGGAAUAAGUCGUAACAAAGUAGAAGUACUGGAAAGUGUUUCUAGAAUGAA
rnacentral:ncRNA from 1 species